CGAGUCAGCCUCCAUCUCCUUGAGGGCCCCGGCCACUGUCAGCCCAGGAGUCUGAAAACAAAACGUGUCCAUCCCGGAGUCCUUCCAUCACAGGUGUCUUCAUCUAGGUGGCAGCUGGCUCCGCAUAGGGGCUGUUUACCUGUUACCCCCACUCUGCAUAGGGUCUAUUUGCCUGUGUUACCCCCGCUCCAUAUAGGGUCUAUUUGCCUGUGUUACCCCGGCUCCGCAUAGGGUCUGUUUGCCUGUGUUACCCCAAUCUGCCCUAGAGACUCGCAGGGCCUCCGCCUCAUGAUGUCUGAGCCAAGCUCAGAGCUGCGCCCUCUGCGGCCUCGUCUGUUGCAGGGGAGCAGGCAGGUCCCAGGAAGUGCGUGUCCUUCGUCCCCCACGCAGACAUGUGCUGUCUUGAAGCUUCAGCAGCCAGCCGGGCAGGCGUGGCAAACAACACCCCAGUGUCUCGGGGGCACGCGCAGUGUGAGCUACAUCCUCUGCUGGGGCUGUCUUGGGAGUGGGUCUCCAGGUGCCAGGGCCUGGUCAGGGAAGUCCAGCCUCAGCUCAUCGUGGCCCUGGAGCCACUCACAAGGCACACGGGAGCUGGGCUGGGGUGGCAGGUGGGGCGUCGGCAGGACGUUUGUGGGGUGAGGGAGUGCAGGUGUCUGGCUGGGAGCCCAGAGAGUGGUGUGUAUCGCUGAGGCUGGACAAGAGGGAAGGCGGAGAAGCUUGGCCACGUGUCUCCUGAGGGCUCCAGGCAGGGCCCUCUCACCUGCUGCCAGGGUCCCAGCCCGCAGGAGCUUCCCAUCCGCCUGUGAACUCACGGUCCACACGGCGCUGGAGCGUGGGGCACCAUCUGCAGGGCUUGAGGCCAGCAGCCUAGCCUCUGGGUCCACUGGGGCAGGCAAAACAUGCAAGAAAGCACUUCAGCCAAGCAGAAGGGAGCCAGCUGGAUGAGGUGCGCCAGGCCAUGGGCAUGCUGGCCUUCCCACCCGACACGCACAUCUCCCCGUACAAGGACCUCCUGGACCCUGCACGGUGGCGGAUGCUGAUCCAGCAGUUCCGGUACGACAACUACCGACUACACCAGCUGGGAAACAACUCUGUGUUCACCCUCACGCUGCAGGCCGGCCUCUCAGCCAUCAAGACACCACAGUGCUACAAGGAGGAUGGCAGCUCCAAGAGCCCUGACUGCCCUGUGUGCAGCCGCUCCCUGAACAAGCUGGCGCAGCCCCUGCCCAUGGCCCACUGUGCCAACUCCCGCCUGGUCUGCAAGAUUUCUGGCGACGUGAUGAACGAGAACAACCCGCCCAUGAUGCUGCCCAACGGCUACGUCUACGGCUACAAUUCUCUGCUUUCUAUCCGUCAAGAUGAUAAAGUCGUUUGCCCGAGAACCAAAGAAGUCUUCCACUUCUCACAGGCCGAGAAGGUGUACAUCAUGUAGGCCCCAUGUCGUGAAGCGCACGCCUCGGGGACGGGCUGCGGCGGGCGGGGAGGCCACGCCUUCCUCCUGUCCCUCGCUCCAGCCUGCCACGGCGUUUCUGUUUCUUGCGACCAAAGAUCAGUGAGCAAUGAUAAAUACUCUUAGGAAGAGAGAAAAUAAGGUUUAAUAAGUUUGUACUUGAAAACAUUUUGAUUGGUAGGAUUUUGUAACACGUCAACCAUUUGAUGCUUCGGAAAAGUACUUUCAACUUGCGAAGGAAACUUUUCUUUAAAGACUGACCUAAACACCGAGGGAAACUUUAGAACGUUUAAAAUAUAGGAGUCCGUGAUUUCCCUGUGUUUUCAGUUUCUUUCCUUCUGUGAACGAUGAGACUUGGAGAACGGGCUGGUCCUUCACCGCUUUCUGUUGGCCCUGGCCCGGCCGGGGAAGGUGGCAGCGGCACUGGACUGACCUGCAGUGACCCGUGAUGCCGCGCCACGAGGGACACUUAUGGCUUCAUUCGAGAGCUGCUGCCAAAACGCCUGGCGCCGCCACCGUCGGGCCGGCUUCGAGGACACCCGCCUGCCUCGCGGGCCGUGUCCGCGGGACUGUGUUCGUACGUGCGUAGUUUCGAUAUCACAUCGCGGGGCUGUGUUCGUACGUGCGUAGUUUCAAUAUCACACCCUCUGUGUGCCGCCUUACUUCCUGCUUCGAGAAUGUAUAACGUGGAAAUCCACGGGACCAAGUUUCUGCAGAGGCCUUGCCGGAUGGUUCCACAACUGUAGAGUCUAAUUACUAUCCAUUACAGAAAUUAAUCGUUCAGUUGAAAGAAGUACUGAUGACUUUUCAAAACAAAUGAACCACCGUAGCUGACAGAGAACCGUAUCGUAGAGGUUUGUAGUUAGUGCUUAUUUUUGCAUGUUGAUGUUGACUAGCUAAUAAACUGUAAAUGUAAACCAUGCG
rnacentral:sRNA from 1 species